AUUCAAUUCAAUCCUCUGGUUCGAGUAGCUUUUCAUUUCCAUUCCCAAUUCUGCAAAUUCUGGACAAUUGGUCUCCGAUUCAAUCAGUUUCUAUGUCUCUCUCACGCGCAAAGCCUAAUUCGAGGUCCAAUCGGAUCGCUGGGAUUGACAGUUCCUGGUUUUCUACCAAGAGAAUUGGUAUAGCUCCUGGUUUGGUUCUGUUCCUAUUCGAUUUGUGUUCCUUUAUUGAUUUGAUGGGAAUCUGAUGAUGAACUGUGUGUCCGUACAUGUUCGUUGUGCCCCGAUCUGAAGUAGAUUCGGGGUGUUGAAUUCAGGGUCCAGUCAGAAUGAAGACGGAAAGAAAAUUAUCACAAACUUUGUCCAGGAAGGAGUUAACAAUCUAUCAGCCCUCAUGGUUUGGCAGAAACAAUCCACAAGAGUACUCUAUUUUUCUAAUAGACCAUUUCUUAGUUUUAUCUCGGUGGCUGUUCACAUGACAUGUUGUCAUGCCAAGUGGGAAUGUAGUAAUUCUAAAUACCUGGCAUAAAUGGUCAUGUGCGCCAAGCAAAUGACAAUUACAGGACUACGACACUGACACUCACAGGACUACGACACUGUAGAGGAGUUUUCCUAGUUGCAGCAGGCAAAGUUAACAAACUAACAGAACUUAAGGGGAGAGCUAGGGGUAGUUGUUUAUGUUGGGUCUAGCCUUCUCAGCACUUUUUAAAAUGGUAACAAAAUAUUGCCUCAUUCCUAAUAGAUUGGAAAGUUGGAAAAGAAGGGAUACCUCAUGAUGUACAUCUAUGCUCUUCCAACAACCUGCAAAUCAGGGAGGUCAACAAAGCAAUUGUUAACAAUGUCCAAGAAGUUAGUCACAGAAAGUGCUGGAGAGAGAGCAGAAGCUAAAAAAUCAUAUAAGCAUCCCAAGACUUCACCCAGGUUUGUAACACAGGAGAAAAAUGAAAGAAAACUUCUUAUGGAAAAAACAUUCAAUAGGUGAUAUUCAUCUUCAGAAAAGCACAUCUAGUUGUUACAUUUAUAUUUGAAAGAAGUAUACAAUUUAUGAACUGAUAAAACAUAUGCAGAAAAUGUAUAAGGUAGUCAUUUUUUGUUUAAAGAAUAACGAACAAUACAAAGGUGCAAUUCUUCACUUUCCCUGAAGUAUCCAUCUUAUUUGCAGUGCAUGGGAUUUAAAUGAGAACUGACAUUUGUAGUUUGAAGAGGCAUACCUCACUAGGGGCUAGGACAGUAGUGCACCUCUGCAUUUGGGGUUAUGGGAGAGGAGCACCUCCCCUUCUCACAAUACGAACAAGUUUUGCGAUGUGUGUCGUUAUAAUGAAUCUUGAUCCGUCCUCCAGUUUUGGUGCUGCACUUGUACAGCCGCUUGCAAACAGAGCAAAGCUUCUUCUUAUGAGUAGUGAGUAGGUGAGUGAGGAGUCUAUCCACAGUGGUGAGGCAGUCUUCACAGUAACCGGGACGGCUAAGAGUUAGGGGUCUAGCUCAAUAAACUCUGUAUAUGAAACAUUGUAAGUAGCUCAAUAAACUCUGUAUAUGAAACAUUGUAAGUAAGAUCUCAAAUAACCAUUGAAUAUUUUACUAGAUAGCCACGUAGUUUCUCAUUUGAAAGUAAUUUGAUAUUUGGAGCUGACAUUUAGAGUCUGUUGACCUGCAGAAACCUGCUGAUGUACGUUGAUAUUCUAUUCUAUCAGAUCAUAACGGAGAAAAUAGUAUUAGAGUACCUAGGUUGAUGUAGUAGUAUUCUAUUUUCAGUUGUACAUUAUAUAGGUGGAAAGAAAGGCCUAUUAAAACAAUCUGAUCAAUUUAUAUGAUAUUAUUUCUUCUCUUGUUUGUUCAA